UAUUUCCUGCUGUGUUCGAUAACUUUAUUUCGGAAGUAACCCUACAACAAUAAUAAGGGAGCCGGACUCCGCCGGAGGAUUGCAGACCUCCCGUGCAAACGGACGAAGGGAGCGUGAGAACGGUGGGAGGCACCCACCUGCUUUAACGCAGGUUACUCGCAGAUAAAGCCGGCACAGCGGGAUUCUU
rnacentral:other from 1 species